rnacentral:tRNA from 1 species
GGCUCCAUCGUCUAGUGGUUAGGACAGCGGCUUUUCAAGCCGUUAAUAGGGGUUCGACUCCCCUUGGAGCUACCA